rnacentral:rRNA from 1 species
UUUUAUUGGAGAGUUUGAUCCUGGCUCAGGACGAACGCUGGCGGCGUGCCUAAUACAUGCAAGUCGAGCGGAGUCGAUGAGGAGCUUGCUUCUCUGAGACUUAGCGGCGGACGGGUGAGUAACACGUAGGUAACCUGCCCAUAAGACUGGGAUAACUACCGGAAACGGUAGCUAAUACCGGAUAGGUUCUUCUCUCGCAUGGGAGAGGAAAGAAAGACGGAGCAAUCUGUCACUUAUGGAUGGACCUGCGGCGCAUUAGCUAGUUGGUGGGGUAA